AUGGUUUGGAGAAAGGCUCCUGUGUUGUUGAACCUGCCCAGUUGUGGGUGAAGCCUUGUACCAGGCAGCCCUACCCUGACCUAAAGUAAAUUCCCAGAAGUUUUUCAUGGGUUUUGAAUUUGCAGUAACAGGAGUGAAUAUUCUAGCAACAGUUUGGUGAUCACGUAUGAUACUAAAAACGCAA